AUACGUAGGGGGCGAGCGUUGUCCGGAAUUACUGGGCGUAAAGGGCGUGUAGGCGGCCUGUCAAGUCAGGGGUGAAAGCCCGGGGCUCAACUCCGGGUGUGCCUUUGAGACUGAUGGGCUUGAGUGCUCCAGAGGGCAGUGGAAUUCCCGGUGUAGCGGUGAAAUGCGUAGAGAUCGGGAGGAACACCAGUGGCGAAAGCGGCUGCCUGGGGAGCGACUGACGCUGAGGCGCGAAAGCUGGGGGAGCAAACAGGAUUAGAUACCCUGGUAGUCCCAGCCGUAAACGAUGAGUGCUAGGUGUGAGGGGUAUCGACCCCCCUCGUGCCGUAGCUAACGCAAUAAGCACUCCGCCUGGGGAGUACGGCCGCAAGGUUGAA
rnacentral:rRNA from 1 species